UCCUUCUCCUCGCGCAGCAGCUUGUGGAUCUGGUUGGCCUUGAUGCGCUCCGACAUCAGCUUGAAGUUGGCGUCGUCCUUCUCGCGCAGCUGCUGCAGCAGCCGCAGGUUCUGCUCCUGCAUGUCCUCGAAGGCCUGCCCCGUCACGUCCAUCUCCGACAGCAGCGCCUCCUCCUCCUGCCAACGGGGACGGGGCGGGCGUCGGGACAAGGCGGCAAGAUGGCCGCCGGGACAAGAUGGCCGCCGGGGCAAGAUGGCCGCCAUGGCAAGAUGGCUACCAGACAAGAUGGAUGCCAGAACAAGAUGGCUGCCGGGACAAGAUGGCCACCAUGGCAAGAUGGCCAUCAGGACAAGAUGGCUACCGGGACAAGAUGGCUGCCAGGACAAGAUGGCUGCCAGGGCAAGAUGGCCGCUGGGACAAGAUGGCCACCGGGAAAAGAUGGCUGCCAGGACAAGAUGGCUGCCAGGACAAGAUGACCACCAGGACAAGAUGGCUGCCAGAACAAGAUGGCUGCCAGGACAAGAUGGCCGCUGGGACAAGAUGUCCACCGGAAAAAAAAAGAUGGCUGCCAGGACAAG
rnacentral:lncRNA from 1 species